AACGAACGCUGGCGGCAUGCCUAACACAUGCAAGUCGAACGAGACCUUCGGGUCUAGUGGCGCACGGGUGCGUAACGCGUGGGAAUCUGCCCUUGGGUUCGGAAUAACAGUUAGAAAUGACUGCUAAUACCGAAUGAUGUCUUCGGACCAAAGAUUUAUCGCCCAGGGAUGAGCCCGCGUCGGAUUAGCUAGUUGGUGAGGUAAAGGCUCACCAAGGCGGCGAUCCGUAGCUGGUCUGAGAGGAUGAUCAGCCACACUGGGACUGAGACCCGGCCCAGACACCUACGGGAGGCAGCAGUGGGGAAUAUUGGACAAUGGGCGAAAGCCUGAUCCAGCAAUGCCGCGUGAGUGAUGAAGGCCUUAGGGUUGUAAAGCUCUUUUACCCGGGAUGAUAAUGACAGUACCGGGAUAAGAAGCCCCGGCUAACUUCGUGCCAGCAGCCGCGGUAAAAC
rnacentral:rRNA from 1 species